GGCGGUAGGAGAGUCAGUAUGUGCAGAGUUUCUGCUUGAAACGCUGAACCUUCAGAUAUAUUUGCAAAAAAUAAAAAUCAUUUAAAAAAAUAAAAAAUAAGUCAGAUGGAGUAACCCUUUAAUAUUUAUUGUUUGUUUUACCAAUUGCUGGAUACUGUUAGUAAUACAUUGAACACAUCACAGCCCUAAGGUUUGCAUUUGGCAUAAAGAUUGAAAAUCACUUUGCCAAACUAUGACCUAAAUAAACAAAGUUCAGUUCUCAUAAAAUUUGUCUUAAAAUGGAGAAAUAGAAUUAUAUUGUAAGAGAGUAUGUAAUCUGUUAGAUGCUAGAGCACACUGUAGUAAUUUCUAAUCUAUAAAUUCUCAGACUCAAUACAAUUUAGUGUCAUUUUGCCUUUCAGUUCAUCAUGGACGCACUGAAAGACCGCAACAAAAUAUUGACACAGGAAUAAUACACGUUUUUCACUGGUUAAACAAACAAUUUUAUAUAAAAUUAAAUUGCAGCCAUGUAGGUCUUGGUGGAAUCAAAAUUGGUAAGAAGCCAGUGGACAAAGUAAUGAAAAGAUAAAAACUAACUACAGCAGCCCAUUCACAGAAACAAGUAGUGUGACUAGAGCUCUCCCCUCCAGAAUCGAAAAGAGAAAUGCAAUACAAUGUAAAACUAAAUUUGGCCCAUGUAUAAAAAGGAUUAAGCAAAAUCUUAAUCUCAUAUCUCGUGAAUGCACAUUUCCUAUGUUACAUGUAUGGUCAUUUAGGAUACAGUUGCUGCAAGUAGGAUCCUUAAUAUACAGGGUUAUUCACAAAUGUGGGAAUUUAAAUGUGAAUUGAAAGUGAAUUUGAGAUUUAAGGUCAAGAAAGCCUAACUGGAAAAAUUAUCUAAGUCCGCUAUGUUUUCAGUUCAGGUAAGAUGGCCUGAACAUGACAUGUGUGACAUGUCAUGAUUCC